GGCACAUUAAGCACUGCAUUCUCAAAAAAAAUAAAUUAGCAUCAACUUUGGAGAGCAGCCAAAAUGCCAGGAACAAAAGGUAAUAAAUCGGACAAGAAAUCAGCUACCAAGCAACCUCAGAGUCCUAAAGAGCAACCGAAGAAAGGUGAUCAGAAAGGAGAUGACAACAAGAAGCAAGGAGGACAGCCGAAGGGAGAGAAGCAGUAAUUUCCAGGCAUUCGUGAAGAUGGCUUUGGAGACGCUGCUGGGGUCCUGCCGCCGUAAACACGGGGGUCCUCGGGGUAGACAGGGCUGAGCGUCCCUCCCCUCUGCACUUUACUGCCCCCUCCGACCCCAGAUGGGGGCUGCUGUGUGGCCCUGUGACACAACAUCUGCUCGCCUCUCACAGGAGCAGAAACCUGAUCUUCAUUCAUCAGCAUCUGCUGCAACUCUGAUCCUCUCAACUAUUUUUAUCCAACUCUUCCUUUCUGGAAAUUAAGAAAAUAGUUAUCUAAAGAAAAAAAAUGUUUUUGCAACUUGCCCCUGAAACCCACCUUCACUGACUAUAAGAUAAGUGUAAAUUAUUUUSUGUAAAUAAUGAAUGAAAUAAAAGCAAUCUAUUAAUUACA